rnacentral:rRNA from 1 species
GACGAACGCUGGCGGCGUGCUUAACACAUGCAAGUCGAACGGAAAGGCCUGCUUUCCCUUGUGGAUUGCGGGUACUCGAGUGGCGAACGGGUGAGUAACACGUGAGUGAUCUGCCCCCAACUUGGGUAUAAGCCUGGGAAACUGGGUCUAAUUCCCGAUAGGACUGCAGGGUGGUGCCUGUGGUGGAAAACGAUUUUCUAGUGGUUGGGGAUGAGCUCGCGGCCUAUCAGCUUGUUGGGGGGGUAAUGGACUACCAAGGCGGCGACGGGUAGCCGGCCUGGGAGGGUGGACGGCCACAUUGGGGCUGGGAUACGGCCCAGACUCCGACGGGAGGCAGCAGUGGGGAAUAUUGCACAAUGGGCGGAAGCCUGAUGCAGCGACGCCGCGUGGGGGAUGACGGCCUUCGGGUUGUAAACUCCUUUCGACCGCGAGGAAGCCACCUGGUUGGAAGGGUGGUGACGGUAGUGGUAGAAGAAGCACCGGCUAACUACGUG